UACGUAGGUGCAAGGCGUUAGUCCGGAAUUGAUUGGUGCGUAAAAGAGCUCGUAGGCGGUUUGUCGCGUCGAAUGUGAAAACCCGGGGCUCAACCCCGGGCCUGCAUUCGAUACGGGCAGACUAGAGUUCGGUAGGGGAGUCUGGAAUUCCUGGUGUAGCGGUGAAAUGCGCAGAUAUCAGGAGGAACACCGGUGGCGAAGGCGGAUCUCUGGGCCGUAACUGACGCUGGAGGAGCGAAAGCAUGGGGAGCGAACAG
rnacentral:rRNA from 1 species